rnacentral:lncRNA from 1 species
UAUCAUCCUCAUUUUUACCACAAACUGGUGUGUAGGUGGGAGGAGUCCCACAGUCCGAAAGAGGUGCAUAGGCCCCAUGGUGUGUGCCAAUAUUACGAUCAAAGACUCAUGGCUUGGCACGUUAGGUAUUAUUCGUUCUGGUCUAUGAGUCUCACGAUUUUGUCCUUUUAAAAGCGCCUCAUGUGAGAGAGAGUUUCAACCCAUAUAAGUCAUACAUAGCCCUUGGGGUAAUCUGCCCCACAAUCUGAAGGAGGUGUAUAGGUCCUACAGUGCGUAUCAAUGUUGCGGUCA